UUUUCAGUGUAAGUAUAUCCCAAGCAAUAUUUGGGACAUGCUUAUACUAAAA
rnacentral:pre_miRNA from 1 species